GACGAACCGUGCGAACGUUGUUCGGAAUAACUGGGCUUAAAGGGUGCGUAGGCGGGUCCGCCAGGCUGUGGUGAAAUCCUCCCGCUCAACGGGAGAACUGCCGUGGAUACUGCGGACCUCGAGGAAGAUAGGGGCGUGCGGAACAGUUGGUGGAGCGGUGAAAUGCGUUGAUAUCAACUGGAACUCCGGUGGCGAAGGUGGCACGCUGGGUCUUUUCUGACGCUGAGGCACGAAAGCUAGGGGAGCAAACAGG
rnacentral:rRNA from 1 species